rnacentral:snoRNA from 1 species
AGCAAAAUGAUGAAAGUUGUUUAGAAUCUGAAUCCCCUUGUGGGAACCCCAUUCUGGGUCUUCAAAGUUCUCUGAUUGCU